ensembl:lncRNA
UUUUAAACAGAUUUAUUGAUAUAUUGUUCAGGUGUCAUACAAUUCAUCCAGCUGAAGUGCUUUUUUCUUUUUUUUAGCUGCACCCCUGGCAUACAGAAGUUCCCAGGCCAGGGAUCAAACUUUCACCACAGCAGCAACCCAAGCCACUGCAGUGACAACACUGGAUCAUUAACCCUCUAAGCCACAAGCGAACUCCUAAAAUGUAUUAUUCAAUGUUUUGGGUGGGUUCUUUUUUUUUUUUUUUAAGUAUAUUCACAGAUACAUGCAACAAUCAAAACAGUCAACUUUAGAACACUUCCGUCAUCCCAUAAAGAAAUCUUUACACGUUAGCUGUCACCCACUUACUGCUACCUACCCCCUCAGCCCUAGGCAACCACUAAUCUACUUUCUAUUUCUACAUGCCCUAUCCUGGGCAUUUUGUAUGAAUAGACUCAUAUAGUGUAUGGUCUUUUGUGACUGACUUCUUUCACUUAGUAUGUUUCCAAGGUCCAUCCAGGUAGUAGCAUGUACCAGCACUUCAUUCCUUCUCAUAGCCAAAUACUAUUCUACCAUAUGAAUAUACCACCAUUUGUUUAUCCAUAUGGCCACUGAUGAACAUUUGGGUUGUUUCUGCCUUUUGACUAUCAUGAAUAAUGCUACUAGAAGCAUCUGCAUACAAGUUUUUUGCAUGGACAUAUGUUUUCAUUUCACUUGGGUAUACACCAAAGAAUGAGAUUGCUGGGUCAUAUGGUAACUCUAUAUUUAAUCAUCUGAGGAACUGCCAGACUUUUUCCGAAGCAGCUGGACCAUUUUACAUCCCACCAGCAGCAACUAUUUUCUCCCAUUGAAUGAGCUGUUUUUUUUUUUAAUUUUUUGAUAGUCUUUAAAGCACAAACAUUUUUAAUUUUAACUUUAGUGAAAUCGCAUUUAUCAAUUUUUUCCCUCUGUUGAUUGUAAUUUGGUGUCACAUCCAUAAUCCAUUGGCAAAUCACGGAUCUAUUCCUCAGCUGUGCUGAGUUUAUCACUGAGCUCAUCAAAGAAAUUCUUCAUUUUCGGUGUACUUUUUUCUUACAGCAUCUCCAUAAGACUCUUUCUUAUAAUUUCUCUCUGCUAAAAUUAUUCCCCAUCUGAACAUGAUGAAGGAUAAUGUGAGACACACACACACACAUAUAUGAAUGACUGGAUCACUUUGCUGUAUAGCAGAAAUUGACAGAAUAUUGUAAAUCAACUAUAAGAAGAAAAAAUUAAAAAAUAAAGGUGUAACUUAAAAAAAUUAUUCCCCAUCUGUUCAUGUAUGGUGUCCACCUGAAGGAAUAGAUCCUUUAACAUGUGAAUCAUAGUUAUUUUAAUGUCCCUAUUUGACUGGAUUAUAUCUGAGCCUGAUUCUGUUGAUUUCUUUCUUUCUUCCUUCUUUUCUUCCUUCCUCCCUCCCUUUCUUUCUUUUUUUGCUUUUUAGGGCCACAUUUGCAGGUUAUGGAAGUUCCCAGGCUAGGGGUCAAGUUGGAACUGUAGCUGAUGGCCUACACCACAGCCACAGCAACACCAAAUAUCAGCCGCGUCGGCAAACUACACCACAGCUCACAGCAACGCCGGAUCCUUAACCCAUUGAGUGAGGCCAGGGAUAGAACCCCCAUCCUCAUGGAUCCUAGUCGGGCUCAUUACCACUGAGCCACAAUGGGAAAUUCCAAUUGCUUAAUUUAUUAAGUUUUUUUUCCUUUCUCUUUUGUGUCUUCUAUUUUUUUUUUUCAUUGAAUGCUAAACAUUAUACAGAAAAGACAAUGGUAUAGUGUGUACACUGGGAAAUGGGCAUGUGACUAAUUAUUUCAGGUCUUUUUUAUGGGAAAUUGGCUUGAUCUAGUCAGGAGCUGAGCUUGCUUUGGGUUUAGUUAUUGCUGUCCUUACCUUCAGAGCCCCAUAGGUACAGAUCCUUGAAGUGGUGGGUAAAUAUUGCCAUGUACUUGGGGUGGAGCUGGGGUGCCCAAAGGUUUUUUUCCUCAGUGUUUGCAUUCCACUCCCAGCUUUCUGCAACAUGGAAGGUAUCGCUUUCCAUGUCUUUCCUUCUCCCCUAGUGAUAGACUAGGCUUGGGGUUGGGGAAGGAGGGUUCUCUAUUGUCCUGGUACAGCCUUAGUCUUAGCUUACAUCUUAAACAAAUGCAGAAACUUAUACUGACCCUUGACAUGAUAGAGUUAUGGGUAAUUUUAAUUCUCUAUAAUGUAUAUUUAUAGAAUAUAUGAAUUUUUACAAGUACAUUUUGGCUAUAUAAGUAGAAGAAAAAAUGUUCAGCCAGGGCUCUUCAGAGAGACAGAACCAAUAGGGUGUGUGUAUGUAUAUAAAUAUAGAAAGAGAUUUAUUAUAUGUAAGUGACUCACACAAUUAUGGGGGCUGAUUUUUUUUUUUUCUUUUUCAGUCACACCCAUGGCAUACAAAAGACCCCAAGCCAGGGUUGAAUCUGAGCUGGAGCUGCGACCUACGCCACUACUGGGGCAACACCAGAUCCUUAACCCACUGCACCAGGGUGGGGAUUGAACAGGUGCCUCCAGAGAGACAAGCCAAUCACUAACCCACUGUGUCACAGCAUGAAUGCCCUGAGAGGUUUUGAGAUCUGCAGCUGGCCAGCUAGAGACCCAGGGGAGCUCAUGAUGCAGUUCUAGUCCAAGUCAGAAGGCCCGAGAACCAGGAAAACUGAUGUGUGAGUUCCAGUCCAAAAGCCAGCAGAAAGACUGAUGUUUCGGUUUGAAUUGGGGGCGGGGCGGGGGGGGGAAAAGGCCUAGGUCCCCACUCAAACAGGCAGGAAGAGUUCCCUCUUAUUCAGCCUUUUGUUUUAGUCAGGUCUUUAGUGAACUAGAGGAGGCCCCACACAUAUGAUGGAGGGCAAUCUGCUUUAUUCACUCUACCUACUCAGAUGUUAAUCUCCACGAAUACCCUCACCGACACACCUAGAAUAAAGUGUGACCAAAAGUACAGACAGUCCAGGGCCUGGUUAAGCUGACACAGAAGAUUAACCAUCACAAUAUCAUGUCAUAAUAAUAAUAAUAAUACAAUCAGGAUUCUGAACAGUUGCUCAAGGCUGGGACUGAUCUAGGAGGCAGUGUGGAACCAAGACUUUCUCUACCCACCUUGUUACAGCAGACCUGGGACAGGGAUCUGACUCAUGGGCCCCAGAAACCAUUCACUGAGAAAUGCUCUCCAGUCUGGGCCCACCCAAGCCAGACCCUCUCCUGACAAAACUGAAGAGCUAGAGCCACCACCGUGUGAGCAUCUGCACAUGAAGGCCCUGCCAUCGGCCAAGGCUUUAAGAAGGAGCCAUGGAAGAGGACAGCUGCCCACCAGCCCCCACAAAGCUUGGGCUGCACAGGGUACCCACUCACCAUCCAAGAGUUAUCAUCCAACUCCUCAAGUGAGGCAUCUUUUAAAAGUGGAAGUUCUUAUUCCAGAUGCCCAGGGCAUCCAGCAAAACAUGUUUCAAGAAGUCAACAAUGAUUCUAGUGGUCUGGUGGUCUCCCUUUUCAACCUUGUCCCCUCUGGCCUACACUUAAAUUCUCAAACUUUAAUUGAAUUAUCAUCAUAUUUUUACUAUUUUCCUUUUAGGGCUGCACCUG